AAGCAUGGGCGCGAGCCUGUGUGAAACGGUCCGCUAGUGCAGAUCUUGGUGGUAGUAGCAAGUAUUCAAGCGAGAACCUUGAAGGGCGAAGCGGGGAAGGGUUCCACGCGAACAUUGAUUGGGCGUGGGUGAGUCGUUCCUAAGCCGAGUGGCAAUUGCUAAGUAGCGGCGAAAGGGAAGCGGGUUGAAAUUCCCGCACACGGGUGUGGAGCGCGGUGACGCAAAAUGGGGCGAACACGCUGGCGACGGCGCUGGGCAGAGUUGUCUUUUCUGUUUGACCGAGUGUGCGGGCUGUGUGGAAUCCGCUUGUCGGGAGAAACACGCUCGCACGGGCAGAGCGCCGGGGCUUUUCCGGCGUCCAGCUCGCCGUCGACGGCCCUUGAAACUUUGCCUGCUGAUUUAAGAUCCACGCCGUGGCGUACCGAUCACCGCAUCAGGUCCCCGAGGUGAACAGCCUCUGCUCGAUAUGAACAAUGCAGGUAAGGGAAGUCGGCAAAUUGGACCCGUAACUUUGGGAAAAGGGUUGGCUCUAGUGCUGCGUGGGAGAGGUUGUCUGUGUGUGGGGGCGGAGGGAGGGCCGGCUUGGCGCGGUAGCCCCGUAAGGGGAUACUGUUCUGGGCUGCUCGCUCACUGUUUCCGCCGCGGACGACGCCCACGGCAUGCAGCAGACUAGAACUGCAACGGGCAAA
rnacentral:rRNA from 1 species